GGGCUGGGGCUCAGCGGUAGAGCACUUGCCUGGCAUGUGUGAGGCACUGGGUUCAAUUCUCAACACCCCA
rnacentral:tRNA from 1 species